UCGAGAAUCAUUCACAAUGGGGGAAACCCUGAUGGUGCGACGCCGCGUGGGGGAAUGAAGGUCUUCGGAUUGUAAACCCCUGUCAUGUGGGAGCAAAUUAAAAAGAUAGUACCACAAGAGGAAGAGACGGCUAACUCUGUGCCAGCAGCCGCGGUAAUACAGAGGUCUCAAGCGUUGUUCGGAAUCACUGGGCGUAAAGCGUGCGUAGGCGGUUUCGUAAGUCGUGUGUGAAAGGCGGGGGCUCAACCCCCGGACUGCACAUGAUACUGCGAGACUAGAGUAAAGGAGGGGGAACCGGAAUUCUCGGUGUAGCGGUGAAAUGCGUAGAUAUCGAGAGGAACACUCGUGGCGAAGGCGGGUUCCUGGACAUUAACUGACGCUGAGGCACGAAGGCGAGGGGAGCGAAAGGG
rnacentral:rRNA from 1 species